ensembl:lincRNA
CUGUAAUUUCCUAAAGGAGUGAACCCAAGUUAUGUUUCACAAUUCCUUUGAUUUUGCCAUGCAGAUACAUAAAGAAUUAGGUAACACUAGCCAACAGUAGCUAAGUAUGUUUUCUUUAUGUGUUAUUUUGUUUCUACUUGAGGAUACUAAAACACUGUCAUAUACCACAUUUCAUAGUUAUUCUUUUUCUUUUAGACUACAAACGAGAAUUGGACUCCAUGCAUAUUAAAUGAAGCAGAAAAAAUUAUAUACAAGCUAAUCCAACUGGAUAGUCUCAGUGCUUGCUGGAAUGUGAACUGCCGUCUGUCCUACCAGGGGUCCCGAGAACAGAUCUUGGAUCAACUGAAAAAUGAAAUUCUUACCAAGUAGACAGAGACCUCCAAACCAUCAAUACAUUUUCCAGCCAAUAUCAGCCUCUGCAAAACUCUACAUGAAUCCUCAUGCAGAAGUAGAACUCAAAACUCCCAAAUUAGAUUGGAGCAUAGAAGUGCAGAAUAUUGCCAUUGAGCUGACCAAGCCCCAGUACUUAAGUAUGAUUGACCUUUUGGAAUCAUUGGAUUAUAUGGUUAGAAAUGUACGUUAUAGGAAAUAUAAACCUAAUUUACCGCUUCAUACCAAUUGUAGGCAAUGGUGGAAGUAUGCCAUUGAUUCAGUUCUUGAAGUUCAUAUAAGAAGAUGUACACAGAUGUGGUCAUGGUGUAACAUAAAGAAGCAUAGAGAGUUACUCAAGAGUUAUAAAAUCGCUUACAAGAAUAAGCUAACUCAGACUAAACUCUCGGAAGAAAUCCAGAAACAAAUUCAGGACCUGGAGAAGACUUUAGAUGUUUUUAACAUAAUUUUAGCAAGGCAACAAGCACAAGUCGAGGUGAUUCGAUCUGGGCAGAAACUAAGGAAGAAAUCCACUGACACAGGGGAGAAACGGGGAGGCUGGUUUAGUGGGUUUUGGGGUAAGAAGGAGUCUAAGAAAAAAGAUGAAGAAUCAUUGAUUCCUGAAACUAUUGAUGAUCUUAUGACCCCUGAGGAGAAGGACAAACUCUUCACUGCUAUUGGUUACAGCGGGAGCAUGCAUAACUUGACUUUGCCCAAGAAGUAUGUUGCCUAUAUAAUGACCUUGAAGUUGGUAAGCACUUCUAUUGUAAUCAGAGAAAACAAAAAUAUUCCUGAAAUCCUAAAAAUCCAGAUCAUUGGCCUGGGCACCCAAGUAUGCCAGCGACCAGGAGCGCAAGCCCUUAAGGUAGAAGCAAAGUUAGAACACUGGUAUAUCACAGGUCUGAGACAGCAGGAUACUGUGCCAUCCCUUGUGGCUUCCAUUGGUGACACUGCAUCAUCCUUGCUUAAAAUUGAGUUUGAAACCAAUCCAGAGAACAGCCUUGCUGACCAGACGCUGACCGUCCAGUCCCAGCCCGUGGAGGUCAUCUACGAUGCUAAAACCAUCAAUGCAGUGGUUGAUUUCUUUCAGUCAAAUAGGGGAUUGGAUCUUGAGCAAAUAACAUCAGCUACUUUGAUGAAGCUGGAAGAAAUUAAAGAGAGAACAGCUACUGGACUUACACAUAUAAUUGAGACUCGAAAAGUUCUUGAUUUAAGGAUAAAUCUGAAGCCUUCUUAUCUAAUAGUUCCACAGACAGGCUUCCACCAUGAAAAGUCAAAUCUUCUCAUUUUAGAUUUUGGUACAUUUCAGCUCAACAGUAAAAGUCAAGGUCUACAGAAGACUACCAGUUCAUCUUUGGAAGAAAUAAUGGAUAAAGCAUAUGACAAGUUUGAUGUUGAAAUAAAGAGUGUGCAACUACUCUUUGCAAGAGCAGGGGAAAACUGGAAGAAGUGCCGUUUUCAGCACCCGUCCACUAUGCAUAUACUGCAGCCCAUGGAUAUUCAUGUGGAGCUAGGCAAGGCGAUGGUAGAGAAGGACACGAGAAUGGCCAGAUUUAAAGCAUCAGGAGGACUUCCUUUGAUGCAUGUGAGGAUUUCAGACCAGAAGAUGAAAGAUGUGCUGUGUUUGAUUAACAGUAUACCUUUGCCACAGAAAUCAUCAACUCAAUCUCCAGAGAGACAGGUAUCGUCAGUUCCUGUUGCUUCAAGUGGGACAAAAGUUCUCCUUGGUACUUCAUUAUUGCUGAGUGAAAUGGAUUCAGAGUCUGACGAUGAGUAUUUCGACGCUGAAGACGGUGCCUCCCAGGUGCCUAGAGGUGCGCCAGGCUCCGAACCCCGAAAGGCUGCGGAGGUUCCGAACGAGGCCCUCAUUAAUCUUCUGCUCAAGUUUGAAGUUAAAGAAGUAAUUUUGGAAUUUACUAAACAACAGAAAGAAGAAGAUACAAUUCUAGUAUUUAAUGUUACUCAGUUAGGAACAGAGGCCACAGUGAGAACUUUCGACCUAACUGUGGUGUCUUAUUUAAAGAAGAUCAGCUUGGAUUACCAGGAAAUUCAAGGAUCAAGAAAAAAGCCCCUUCACUUGAUUAGCUCUUCUGACAAACCUGGGUCAGAUCUUUUAAAAGUAGAGUAUAUUAAGGCUGAUAAGAGUGGACCUAGUUUUCAAACCACUUUUGAAAAAACUGAACAGACAUUUAAGGUGGCCUUUUCCUCUUUGAACUUGUUGCUGCAAACCCAAGCUCUUCUCUCUUCUAUUAACUACCUGACAACCAUCCUUCCCUCCGAUGGGCAGAGCAUGGGCGGCCCACCAGGGGUGCAGAUCUCCACUGAGAAGCAAACAAAUUCCUCUCUGCAGAAAGAACGUCACCAACUUACUGACAUUCAGACUGAACUAUAAGAUGCAUUUUGUUCGCUUACGAACAAAUCUGGAAUAGAAUUUGUUCAUAAGUCGGGGACUGACUCUUUUUAAAUUGCAAAAGGAACAUCUACUAAAAAGCCUAGUUUU